rnacentral:rRNA from 1 species
GACGAACGCUGGCGGCAUGCCUAAUACAUGCAAGUCGAGCGAACAGAUGAAGUGCUUGCACUUCUGACGUUAGCGGCGAACGGGUGAGUAACACGUAAGGAAUCUACCUAUAAGCGGGGGAUAACAUUCGGAAACGGGUGCUAAUACCGCGUAAUAUCUUCUUCCGCAUGGAAGAAGAUUGAAAGACGGCUCUGCUGUCACUUAUAGAUGACCUUGCGGUGCAUUAGUUAGUUGGUGGGGUAACGGCCUACCAAGACGAUGAUGCAUAGCCGACCUGAGAGGGGGAUCGGCCACAUUGGGACUGAGACACGGCCCAAACUCCUACGGGAGGCAGCAGUAGGGAAUCUUCCGCAAUGGGCGAAAGCCUGACGGAGCAAUGCCGCGUGAGUGAAGAAGGCCUUCGGGUCGUAAAACUCUGUUAUAAGAGAAGAACAAAUUGUAGAGUAACUGCUACAGUCUUGACGGUAUCUUAUCAGAAAGCCACGGCUAACUACGUGCCAGCCGCCGCCGUAA